CCCUCUGCAGCCCCUUUAAGAGCCUGCCAGCUGUUAUGAAGUGGUGGCGGGACCACUACGACUUACCCAGUGUUUGUGCUCCCUGAAUGCUGGGAUUCUGGCUCACACCAUGCAGUGUAAAAGUGUCCUGGAUUGGUUGUCAGAACAGCAAUCAAACCCUGAACCUAAACAUCUGAGCCUCUACAGUCUGAACUAAAAAACCUGCAGCUGUUAGCCUGAAGAGAGUAGCAGACUUACGAAGCUCUCUGCAGUCCAGCCACUGGAAGGAGACACCGAGCCACGGUUAUAUGUUCAUCAGAUCUGUAUAGUUCCCUGCUUGACACCAAGGAAGACAAAGGACGAGACGUUUUCAGUAUCCAGCCCCAAGGAAUAUCCCUGUGGGAUUACCGGCAGCUCCACAUACCAUUGAAAAAGGAAGAUUAAAAGU